CACGUAGGUGGCAAGCGUUAUCCGGAAUACUGGGCGUAAAGCGCACGCAGGCGGUCUUUUAAGUUUGACGUGAAAGCUCCCGGCUUAACUGGGAGAGGUCGUUGAAGACUGGAAGACUUGAGGCAAUGAGAGGGGUGUAGAAUUCCCGGUGUAGUGGUGGAAUGCGUAGAUAUCGGGGGGAAUACCAGUGGCGAAAGCGGCACCCUAGCGUUAGCCUGACGCUCAUGUGCGAAAGCGUGGGGAGCGAACGGG
rnacentral:rRNA from 1 species